rnacentral:misc_RNA from 1 species
UACAGCUUUAGGUCGGGCAUAGUGA